rnacentral:rRNA from 1 species
UACAGAGGGUGCGAGCGUUAAUCGGAAUUACUGGGCGUAAAGCGCACGUAGGCGGCUUGGUAUGUCGGGUGUGAAAUCCCCGGGCUCAACCUGGGAACUGCAUCCGAAACUGCCUUGCUCGAGUAUGGGAGAGGGAAGUGGAAUUUCCGGUGUAGCGGUGAAAUGCGUAGAUAUCGGAAGGAACAUCAGUGGCGAAAGCGACUUCCUGGACCAAUACUGACGCUCAUGUGCGAAAGCGUGGGGAGCAAACAGG